UACAGAGGUCCCAAGCGUUGUUCGGAUUCACUGGGCGUAAAGGGUGCGUAGGCGGUCAGGUAAGUCUGAAGUGAAAGCUCCAUGCUCAACUUGGAAAAUGCUUCGGAUACUAUCUGACUAGAGAGCCGGAGAGGAGGCUGGAAUUCUCGGUGUAGCAGUGAAAUGCGUAGAUAUCGAGAGGAACACCAGUGGCGAAAGCGAGUCUCUGGACGGCAUCUGACGCUGAGGCACGAAAGCCAAGGUAGCAAACGGG
rnacentral:rRNA from 1 species